rnacentral:rRNA from 1 species
AACGAACGCUGGCGGCAUGCCUAACACAUGCAAGUCGAACGAGACCUUCGGGUCUAGUGGCGCACGGGUGCGUAACGCGUGGGAAUCUGCCCUUGGGUUCGGGAUAACAGUUGGAAACGACUGCUAAUACCGGAUGAUGACUUCGGUCCAAAGAUUUAUCGCCCAGGGAUGAGCCCGCGUCGGAUUAGCUAGUUGGUGAGGUAAGAGCUCACCAAGGUGACGAUCCGUAGCUGGUCUGAGAGGAUGAUCAGCCACACUGGGACUGAGACACGGCCCAGACUCCUACGGGAGGCAGCAGUGGGGAAUAUUGGACAAUGGGCGAAAGCCUGAUCCAGCAAUGCCGCGUGAGUGAUGAAGGCCUUAGGGUUGUAAAGCUCUUUUACCCGGGAUGAUAAUGACAGUACCGGGAGAAUAAGCCCCGGCUAACUCCGUG